AGAGUUUGAUCGUGGCUCAGGAUGAACGCUAGCGGCAGGCUUAAUACAUGCAAGUCGUGGGGCAGCGCAGUGUAGCAAUACAUGGGCGGCGACCGGCAAACGGGUGCGGAACACGUACACAACCUUCCUACAAGUGGGGAAUAGCCCAGAGAAAUUUGGAUUAAUACCCCGUAACAUAUAGAGAUGGCAUCAUUUUUAUAUUAUAGCUAUGGCGCUUGUUGAUGGGUGUGCGGCUGAUUAGGUAGUUGGCGGGGUAACGGCCCACCAAGCCUUCGAUCAGUAGUUGAUGUGAGAGCAUGAUCAGCCACACGGGCACUGAGACACGGGCCCGACUCCUACGGGAGGCAGCAGUAAGGAAUAUUGGACAAUGGGCGCAAGCCUGAUCCAGCCAUGCCGCGUGAAGGAUUAAGGUCCUCUGGAUUGUAAACUUCUUUUAUAAGGGACGAAAAAAGGGAAUUCUUUCUCACUUGACGGUACCUUAUGAAUAAGCACCGGCUAACUCCGUGCCAGCAGCCGCGGUAAUACGGAGGGUGCAAGCGUUAUCCGGAUUCACUGGGUUUAAAGGGUGCGUAGGCGGAUAUUUAAGUCAGUGGUGAAAUCCUAGAGCUUAACUCUAGAACUGCCAUUGAUACUAUUUAUCUUGAAUAUUGUGGAGGUAAGCGGAAUAUGUCAUGUAGCGGUGAAAUGCUUAGAUAUGACAUAGAACACCUAUUGCGAAGGCAGCUUACUACGCAUAUAUUGACGCUGAGGCACGAAAGCGUGGGGAUCAAACAGGAUUAGAUACCCUGGUAGUCCACGCCCUAAACGAUGGAUACUCGGCAUACGCGAUACACUGUGUGUGUCUGAGC
rnacentral:rRNA from 1 species